ensembl:snRNA U6 U6 spliceosomal RNA
UUUGCUUUGAGAACUUUACUAAAAUUGGAUGAUUCAGGGAAGACUAGCAUGGCCCUUGUCCAAGGAUAACACUCAAAUUUGUGAAGAUUCCAUAUAAAAA